UACGAAGGGUGCAAGCGUUACUCGGAAUUACUGGGCGUAAAGCGUGCGUAGGUGGUUUGUUAAGUCUGCUGUGAAAGCCCCGGGCUCAACCUGGGAAUGGCAGUGGAUACUGGCAAGCUAGAGUGCGGUAGAGGGUAGUGGAAUUCCAGGUGGAGUGGUGAAAUGCGUAGAGAUCUGGAAGAACACCAAAGGCGAAGGCAGCAUCCUGGGAAGUUCCUGACGCUCGGGUGCGAAAGCCAGGGGAGCGAACGGG
rnacentral:rRNA from 1 species